UCCCAGUCCUCUGUCUCUCUUCACCCACCCUCCCCGAUGACGAGUAGAGCCACCAGUUCGUAGGCAAUCUACUCGUCGGCGGUGGAUCUGGCCUCUCUCGCUCUGGAGUCAUCAUCUCUCCCACCAUGCCCUCGUGCCCAGGGAAUUGAAACCUCUCCCCACAGCUGAUCUGCUGUUCCUCAAUCAGGUUUGAAGGGAUUUCAUGGAACCAGGAAGAGACUUUUAACGCUUAUGCUGCUGAGGAGCCUCCUCAACCAAAGCCAGAGUUUGAUUCAGGUUACAUGAAGGAUGGUUCGUCUCAAAAGGACUGCAGGAGCUGGAAGGGACAAGGGGAUACAGAAGAUGACUGGGGAGAAACCUAUAGUAAGACAAGGAUACCCGCUUUGUUUGUUGCUAGCAUCUCUAGGUAUGCUUCUGGUUGACGUGGAAAAUAUAAAUACGAGAAAGUUUACAAUAUAUUGUGGUAGUCUGCGGGAACUUUCCGCUGCAGUGGUGAAGUACGAUCCUUGAAGGGUAUACUUGGAUCAUUAAGUGUUGGCCAUGUGGUUUUUGUGGCAUGGUCGGAUGAUGAUGGUUUCCAAGAAACACGCAGGAAACUUGGUAUUAGAUACUGCUAUAACAGAUCUUCUGCUUUGUACGCUAUUGUUGACCCAUUUAAGGAAGAAGCUGACAAGUCUAGCCAUCAACUAAGUGAGCAUAUCCGUCUUUGGUAACAUUAAUUUAUUCAUUUUGUUCUUAUCCGUUCCCAGAUGCACAUUUUUUAUAUGUUUGAGGACUUCAUGUUAAUUUUUUAUGUUUUUAUUUCCUGUAUUACCUUAAACAAUUGCAAAUCACAUAUAUGUCAAAAGAUCUUUUCUGUACAAGUUAACAAGAUUGGUUACUUUCUUUUUUAAUUUUUCAUUAUAUGAAGAGAAGCUUGUCCAACAUCGUUUGAGAUGAUUUGGACAUAUUCAGUGCAGGCCUCCAGAAGUUCCAGUGCAUAGCGGACGUCUAAAGCGUGCGGAGAAUGCCAAGAGAGGUCGGGGUAGACCGAAUUUGACAUGGGAGGAGUCCCUUAAGAGAGACCUGGAUGAUUGAAGUAUCACCAAAGAACUAGCUACAGACAGAGGUGCGUGGAAGCUUGCUAUCCAUGUGCCAGAGCCAUGAGUUGGUUGCGAGAUCUGUUGUUGUUGUUGUUGUUGUUGUUGUUGCUGGUGUUGCUAUUGUGUUGUUGUUCUUGUUCUGGUUCUUGUUGUUGUUGUUGUUGUUGUUGUUGUUGUUGUUGUUGUUGUUGUUGUUGUUGU